rnacentral:sRNA from 1 species
UACCACUGGCUAGAGCUCGGCAAGACGC